AAGCUUCGAUCUUAAUCCUCUUCAUUAAUCCUCGAUCCCGGGAUCCUCUCGUUCCGCGGGCCGACUCUUCGCUUAACCAAGACGGUUAUGGAGAGUCUUAAUCUCAGGGGGGAAAUAAAAAUGGACGCAGCAAUAGGGAAGCGGUAGACUGUAAUAUUUGGAGGAUUCUCAUAGAUUACGGAUUGAGAAUUGAUUCUGAAUUCUUGUUGGUGUUUUGGAUGCGAUUCUGAUUGUGUAUGCGUUUGUGAGAUUAGUUUUGAGCAUUGUAAGCCUUUUGAUAUGAAUACUUGUAAUCUUUUCUGAAUUUGGAGUUCAUUGAUUUGAAUGGUUGAACAUUUCCCUUUGCAGCCAGGGAGCUCUUGCUGAGCCAUCCGGCUUUCGGCAGAAGAGUGGGCUGUGGUGGUUGAUCUUCAUUAAAGAGAAACUAGUGGUGCUCCAAUUCUCUGGUUGGUAUUUGUAGGGAAUGCCGAAUGGUGACUCUUUUGCAUGGGAGGGAGACUUGAGAUCACAUAUUCCGAGAAGAACGAAGCAUUCCUUUUAAGGGUGUGGUAACCUCUCCCUAGUAGACGCGAUGAGAACGAAAUCUUCCUUAUAAGGGUGUAGAAUCCUCUCCCUAGUAGACGUGAUUUGAAACCGUGAGGCCAACGGCGGGUUGUUAUUCGAAAACCCCACCUGUUCUCUGCUUUCAAACGCUCAAUUUACCUGCAAGUUAUCGUGGAGUGCGAACGCCUACUCCAUCGGUACUUGAUUUAUGAGUUCUUCAUUGUUGAUCCUGUA